AACACAUUACGAUAAAGGCGAUGUUACUUUGCUUUUAUUUGUGAUUUUUAUUAUUGCUGUUCUAAAUAAUUAUUUGCUUAAAAACUAAAAUAUCGAAAGCCCAUGGUUUGCAGUAAAAAAACAUGACAUCACAAAAUAACCAGUCUGACAGUCAGAGAUUGGGUAAUACAUCUAAUGUCAAAUGAAAACAAGUGAAAGUAAUCACAUUUUCAAAUUUUCAAAUGCAGCAUUGCGAUAUUUCAUUGGCGUUUAAGUUUCUAAUUUAGAAUAAGUAUGAUAAUCUCGAACAGCGAAGGAGUCACUGUAUCUGCAUAUUUCCAGCAAAUCAUUUCUGUCGGACAAUUUUUUAGAACCUACAUAUACAUUUUUUACCAACGGGGUUUAUUGUUGAAUGUUAUUUUCGCCUCGGAUACAUGGAAUACUUGCCACUGGACAUUAUGACUAUACCAAUUAAUUAAUACGAAUGGUAGGGUAAAUCAGAGAGACAUACAGGUACCAAUAACCAGAAGCAUAUAAAAGAAAUCUAAAAAAAUUCAACGUACAGUUUUGAGAACAGGGACGAAAUGUCAAGUUGUCUUGCGUGUUUUUCUCAAUUAUUUAUUAUUUUAUUUUCUCUGUAUAAGUAGGAGAAUGCCGCGGGAAUUAGAGACAAACCACGCUAUGACCAUAUGACGAAAAGACAAUAUAGUCUCAAAACACAAUAUUAAAAGAAAGAUACAGUCCGACAAACCCAAAAGCCGAGGUUGGUGGUACAUGUAUUGGAAGUGUUACGGGCGUUAUUGCUACACUAUAUAGGGGACAUUUAUUGUUCAGAAAAUAGUCAAACUGAAGACCGGGUAUAAAUAAGUUUGUAUACGUGCAAGUAUCCUACGAAAACAUGUUUAUAUGUAAAGAAAUUUAAAGGUUUUUAAAUAACAACCUGGAUUUCUAAAUUAUUUGUGUCACAAAUGAGUUCAAGGUUGACGGAUAUAUAAAAAAACAAACCCGUAAUUAUAAUUUUCUGAUGAAUACAAAAAGUAUCAACCAGUAUUUAACUUGAACGGGUGUCUUUUUCUCUCACUUGAAGUUCUAUGCAAUUUGAAUAUUGCCCUUAAUGAAAUGAUCAUUUAACUCGAAGUCAAAAAGUCUGCCUUGUGAGUGUACAUUUUCAUCCUGUCUUGUGCAAAGUUUAUAAAUUAAAAAAAAAAAACCCUGCCCCUCCCAGAAAAUCAGAUGGUAGUCGCAACAGGUUAUUCAGCAGAGGCAGAUAAAGAGUAACAAAUUGUUUUUAUUUCAAGUGUCAAUGUUGCAAAAUUUAUUUUAUUUAAACAUGAAAUAAAAGCGUAUCGAAAUACAAACCAGUCAUUGUGAUUUAAUUUUGUGACACA
rnacentral:lncRNA from 1 species